CGAAACGAAGUGAUCUAUCCAUGAGCAAGUUGAAGCUAGUGUAAGAACUAGUGGAGGACUGAACCCAUAGGCGUUGAAAAGCCCCGGGAUGACUUGUGGAUAGGGGUGAAAGGCCAAUCAAACUUCGUGAUAGCUGGUUCUCUCCGAAAUAUAUUUAGGUAUAGCGUUGUGUCGUAAUAUAAGGGGGUAGAGCACUGAAUGGGCUAGGGCAUACACCAAUGUACCAAACCCUAUCAAACUCCGAAUACCUUAUAUGUAAUCACAGCAGUCAGGCGGCGAGUGAUAAAAUCCGUCGUCAAGAGGGAAACAACCCAGACUACCAGCUAAGGUCCCUAAAUCUUACUUAAGUGGAAAACGAUGUGAAGUUACUUAAACAACCAGGAGGUUGGCUUAGAAGCAGCCAUCCUUUAAAGAAAGCGUAAUAGCUCACUGGUCUAGUGAUUUUGCGCGGAAAAUAUAACGGGGCUAAAGUAAGUACCGAAGCUGUAGACUUGCACACAACUUAGAUUAUUUAAGUUUAGAAUAUGAGAAACUAAGUUAUAUGUUUAGUUAUAUUUUUACUGAUUUUUAUAGAGUAAAGAUAGAAAUAAAACUUAGUAAAAUCAGUAAAAAUAUUCUUAGACUAAAGUUAAGUAGUUUAAGUUGUGUGCAAGUGGUAGGAGAGCGUUCUAUUUGCGUCGAAGGUAUACCGGUAAGGAGUGCUGGAGCGAAUAGAAGUGAGCAUGCA
rnacentral:rRNA from 1 species